CCUACGGGAGGCAGCAGUGAGGAAUAUUGGUCAAUGGACGCAAGUCUGAACCAGCCAUGCCGCGUGCAGGAAGACGGCUCUAUGAGUUGUAAACUGCUUUUGUACGAGGAUAAACGCAGAUACGCGUAUCUGUCUGAAAGUAUCGUACGAAUAAGGAUCGGCUAACUCCGUGCCAGCAGCCGCGGUAAUACGGAGGAUUCAAGCGUUAUCCGGAUUUAUUGGGUUUAAAGGGUGCGUAGGCGGUCGGAUAAGUUAGAGGUGAAAUCCCGAGGCUCAACUUCGGAAUUGCCUCUGAUACUGUUAGGCUAGAGAGUAGUAGCGGUAGGCGGAAUGUAUGGUGUAGCGGUGAAAUGCUUAGAGAUCAUACAGAACACCGAUUGCGAAGGCAGCUUACCAAGCUAAUUCUGACGUUGAGGCACGAAAGCGUGGGGAGCAAACAGGAUUAGAUACCCUAGUAGUC
rnacentral:rRNA from 1 species